rnacentral:rRNA from 1 species
GACGAACGCUGGCGGCGCGCCUAACACAUGCAAGUCGAACGGAGUCACGAGGAGCUUGCUUUUCUUGACUUAGUGGCGAACGGGUGAGUAACGCGUGAGUAACCUGCCCUGGAGUGGGGGACAACAGUUGGAAACGACUGCUAAUACCGCAUAAGCCCACGGAUCCGCAUGGAUCUGCGGGAAAAGGAUUUAUUCGCUUCAGGAUGGACUCGCGUCCAAUUAGCUAGUUGGUGAGGUAACGGCCCACCAAGGCGACGAUUGGUAGCCGGACUGAGAGGUUGAACGGCCACAUUGGGACUGAGACACGGCCCAGACUCCUACGGGAGGCAGCAGUGGGGGAUAUUGCACAAUGGGGGAAACCCUGAUGCAGCGACGCCGCGUGGAGGAAGAAGGUUUUCGGAUUGUAAACUCCUGUCGUUAGGGACGAUAAUGACGGUACCUAACAAGGAAGCACCGGCUAACUACGUG